rnacentral:rRNA from 1 species
GCCUACGGGGCGCAGCAGUGAGGAAUAUUGGUCAAUGGGCGGGAGCCUGAACCAGCCAAGUCGCGUGAGGGACGACGGUCCUAUGGAUUGUAAACCUCUUUUGUCGGGGAACAAAGGCGCCCACGGGUGGGCGGAUGAGUGUACCCGAAGAAAAAGCAUCGGCUAACUCCGUGCCAGCAGCCGCGGUAAUACGGAGGAUGCGAGCGUUAUCCGGAUUUAUUGGGUUUAAAGGGAGCGUAGGUGGAUUGUUAAGUCAGUUGUGAAAGUUUGCGGCUCAACCGUAAAAUUGCAGUUGAAACUGGCAG